CACUGUGCGCCUUGCUCAGAGAGAAGAAAGCGCUUGUUUGUGCAGGACCCUCUCACCUGUAAAUGUUCCUGCAAAUUCACACAGUUAGACUGCAAGUCCAGGCAACUUGAGUUAAACGAAAGAACUUGCAGAUGUGAGAGACCGAGGAGGUGAGACCAGCAACACUGUUAUGAAGGAAUUAUUUUCUUGGCUCAGCACUUUGAAAACCUGAGGAUGCAUUCCCUGCCAGGACACGAAACGACAACGCAAGACAGGACAUUCUUAAACGCAACUCUUGCCAGUGUUUGUUUUCCGUAUAAAGAUAUUAAUAUAUAUGUACAUAUACUAUAAGUACAUCGACAAUGUGUAUUGCUGCUACGUAAAAGAGACACUAUUUAAAGCAAAACGAAUGCGCCACUGGCGUGUGAACGGGAAAUGUUUCAGUGGCGUUCUGCUCAUGAGUAGAAUUUGUAGAAGAGAUUUUAUGUGACAUUUCACUGGAUGCUGGUCUGCUGUGGAUAUCUUAAAAAUAUUUUUUACUAACAAAAAACGAGCAGUGCAGCAGGAGCCGAGCUCCCCUUCCAAACUCUGACAAAGGAGACUUGAAGAAGAAGGAGGAAGAAGAGCCUCUGUUGUACUUGAACUGAAAUGCAGGUCCAAGAACUGUUUCCCUCUGAGACAUGAUGUGAAGCUUUGUCCCCACUGUAUGGACCGACUCUGUGUGGAAACACACCUGGAAAGUCUCUCAGAGUUUCCUGAAGUAACUGUGGAUGCAGGUGAUGUGCCGUGGUGACGGAUAAAUGUGAAGAUGACCUUCUUUCCUCGUGGGAGGGUUACGUGACAAUGGCAGGAACUGAACCAAAGAGUAGCUCAUGGGGAAGACUAGCAAG